GAUUAACGCUGGCGGCGUGCAUAACACAUGCAAGUCGAACGAUGAAACUCAUUAGAUUUCUUCGGAAUGAAAAUGAAUGGAUUAGUGGCGAACGGGUGAGUAACGCGUGAGUAACCUGCCUUACACAAGGGGAUAGCCUCUGGAAGCGGAGAAUAAUACCCUAUGAAACCAGACAAUCGCAUGAUAAUCUGGUCAAAAUGUUUAGUGGUGUAAGAUGGACUUGCGUCUGAUUAGCUAGUUGGUGAGAUAAAAGCUCACCAAGGCAACGAUCAGUAGCCGGCUUGAGAGAGUGUACGGCCACAUUGGGACUGAGACACGGCCCAGACUCCUACGGGAGGCAGCAGUGGGGAAUUUUGCACAAUGGGGGAAACCCUGAUGCAGCGACGCCGCGUGAUUUAGAAGGCCUUCGAGUUGUAAAAAUCUUUUGUAUAGGAAGAAAAUGACAGUACUAUACGAAUAAGGUCCGGCUAAUUACGUG
rnacentral:rRNA from 1 species